NNNNNNNNCGCAACCGAACGCGGAGACGACGGCGGGGGCCCCGGGCAGAGUUCUCUUUUCUUCUUAACGGUCCAUCACCCUGAAAUCGGUUUGUCCGGAGCUAGGGUUUAACGGCCGGAAGAGCCCAGCACCUCUGCUGGGUCCGGUGCGCUCUCGACGUCCCUUGAAAAUCCGCGGGAGGGAAUAA
rnacentral:ncRNA from 1 species